CAGUCGCCGCGGUAAUACAGAGGAUGCAAGCGUUAUCCGGAAUGAUUGGGUGUAAAGGGUGUGCAGACGGCUUAUUAAGUCACUUGUUAAAUUCUUCGGCCUAACUGAAGGUCUGCAAGUGAUACUGAUGAGCUAGAGGGUGGAAGAGAGAAGUGGAAUUCUCGGAGUAGCGGUAAAAUGCGUAGAUCUCGAGAGGAACACCAAUGGCGAAGGCAGCUUCUUGGUCCAUUCCUGACGUUCAUACACGAAAGCGUGGGGAGCAAACAGGAUUAGAUACCCCAGUAGUCCCUGUCUCUUAUAC
rnacentral:rRNA from 1 species